rnacentral:rRNA from 1 species
UACGUAGGGGGCUAGCGUUGUCCGGAAUCAUUGGGCGUAAAGCGCGUGUAGGCGGUCCGGUAAGUCCGCUGUGAAAGUCGGGGGCUCAACCCUCGAAUGCCGGUGGAUACUGUCGGGCUAGAGUGCGGAAGAGGCGAGUGGAAUUCCUGGUGUAGCGGUGAAAUGCGCAGAUAUCAGGAGGAACACCAAUUGCGAAGGCAGCUCGCUGGGACGUUACUGACGCUGAGGAGCGAAAGCGUGGGUAGCGAACAGG